rnacentral:rRNA from 1 species
ACGGGAGGCAGCAGUGGGGGAAUAUUGCACAAUGGGCGCAAGCUGAUGCAGCGACGCCGCGUGAGGGAUGAAGGCUUUCGGGUGUAAACCUCUUUCAGUAGGGAAGAAGCUGGCUUUCGGGUUGGUGACGGUACCUGCAGAAGAAGCGCCGGCUAACUACGUGCCAGCAGCCGCGGUAAUACGUAGGGCGCAAGCGUUAUCCGGAAUUAUUGGGCGUAAAGAGCUCGUAGGCGGUUUGUCGCGUCUGCCGUGAAAGUCCGGGGCUUAACUCCGGAUCUGCGGUGGGUACGGGCAGACUAGAGUGCAGUAGGGGAGACUGGAAUUCCUGGUGUAGCGGUGAAAUGCGCAGAUAUCAGGAGGAACACCGAUGGCGAAGGCAGGUCUCUGGGCUGUAACUGACGCUGAGGAGCGAAAGCAUGGGGAGCGAACAGGAUUAGAUACCCUGGUAGUCCAUGCCGUAAACGUUGGGCACUAGGUGUGGGGGACAUUCCACGUUUUCCGCGCCGUAGCUAACGCAUUAAGUGCCCCGCCUGGGGAGUACGGCCGCAAGGCUAAAACUCAAAGGAAUUGACGGGGGCCCGCACAAGCGGCGGAGCAUGCGGAUUAAUUCGAUGCAACGCGAAGAACCUUACCAAGGCUUGACAUGAACCGGAAUGAUGCAGAGAUGUGUCAGCCACUUGUGGCCGGUUUACAGGUGGUGCAUGGUGUCGUCAGCUCGGUCGGAG